UAAUAUUUACGUUAAUAUUAAAAUCUGUUUUCCCCAUCGAGAGCCUCAAAAAAGUCGAAUUUCUCAUUAAAUACAAGAAGUCAUGGGCUGAAAAAUAAGUUCCACAAUCAACGUUGAAUGGUGGUGAUAGUAUUCAUUUGAUUAAAAACAUAUGUCUGAUCGCUUGUUUAAAUAAUAAAAACAAACAAAUCUAGUUGGAGAAAAAGUCCAACCAUCCAUCCAUAUUUCUGUUACUGACUGCGAAUUUAUAUUAGACCUUGCUUUGUUAAAUGUAAGCGGCCGCCAUUUUUAAAGUUGUGUAUUUCACUGGAGGAAAAUAAUUGUGUUUGAUUCAGAGGGAUAUCAUUUGGAUUUCUUAGUCAUACACCUUUUUAAAAGAAAGAAAACUUAUUUGAGGAUUGUAACAGACAAUAAAUAAGUGUUGACAGAUGUGUAAACAUUAAAAAAAGUGGAUAGGAAAUUGGAAACUUUGGAAGCCUUACGAACGCUGGUUUUUUUUACAUAUUCUACGACUGAAAGCUGCCAUUGCUUUUCAAGUUUUCAUAAAGCAUACGGCAGUUAUUGCUCGUAGGAUACUUAAAUAUUCCCAAAUGUCAUCAAGAGCAGUUUUGCACGUGGAAGGAAUGAUUUUUUCAGACUGUAAAAAUGAAACAAAAAAUUAAAGAGACGAUAUUUGGUGAUUGGUAUUUUGAAUGAAUAGAAGUAACAUACUGUAAGUUUUCUUCUUUUUAUUACUUUUGACAUAUAAGUUAUUUAUCAAUUCCACUUUUGCUUUUCUUUAAACAGCCUGACAUUGUCGGAAUAGUCAGAAAAAAUAAAAUUGAGGUACCACAUGGAGAAAAUCUUAAAAAAGUAGUUUCGUCAUUGAAAAGUGUGAAAUUAUAUUUUGAUAAUUUUCACUGUGAAAUUAUCAAAUAUAAUUUUCACGGAUAAAUCAGUAAUCCACUGAAAAGCAUAAAAUAAAAAUUGGUAGUUACCUCCCCUGAUCAGUUAUUGAACCAUUAAACAGACUUCGUUCGGUCGGAUCGUUCUCUCAGUGCCUGAAAGGGCGGAUGGAUCCUCAUGAAACCUAAAAUAUUUCGCCUAUAAUGAAAAUGUUUAUCCGAGUUUUAUUUAAAAAAUAAUCUUUCAAAAUUCGAAAAUCGCCUACAUCAGUACAUUCUUUUUUUCAUGAUUAUAAAUAAAUACUCAAUUUCAAAGUCUAAUGGCGUGAGUCAGUCGUAUGAUUUUUAGUGGCGAGUAUAAGAUUUACACGUUUCUUUUCUUAAACUUUCUCUGUAUUGAGACUAAGUUUAAAGGAAGGACAUUAUACACCUUUACACAUAUUAUUAUAAUAUUGUUAAACUUUUAACUCUUAAGGUGUAUAAAGCUAUAUAUGUGAUAAAAUUAAUUAUUGUUCGGAUUUAAAAAGAGAAUACUUCCAAAAUGCAUUUAUGAAAUAAAAAUGGCAAUAAAUAGCCUUAAAGCAAGCUGUGCAGCUAAUUGGAUAAAACUCUUCUUAAAAUAGCAAAGUAAUAUUUUGUUCCGGAACAUUUUAUUCUUUUAACGUACAUUAUUCAUGUGUUAAAUAACAGAGACAUUAAAUGUUACUUCUAUUUCGGGAAUCAACCACAUAGAAAUGGAACCAAUAUACUUUUACUGUUGAUCUCUACUUGUUAAAGGGUUUGUAAGCGAACAACAUGGAUCCUGAUCAGACUGCGCGGAUGCGCAGGCUGGUCUGGAUCCAUGCUGGUCGCAAACCCAUUAUGUUGGUUUAGUCGUGACGCGGCUCAUUUAUACCCUUUAUUUAUUUAUUUCAAAGCGGAAGCCACGCCAGCAAAUCUUCAUAUGCACACAGGCUGGAAGCUGAUGCCCGGCAACGAAGGAUUAACGGAACCACGUUACUGUAUACCAAUUUCCAUUAUAUCAAACAUUUGACGCCUGAUGUAAAGAUUAUCAUUAUUUUUAGUAAUCCAGUGUCAAGACUAUUUUCGGACUUUAUGCAUCAGAUUAAACUAAGCAGUGAACAUAAUAUUGAUGAACAUGAAGCAGCGAACAAGUUUCAUCAUGUUGCCAAAACAUUGAUAGACGAAUACACGAUAUGCUUUGAUAAAUUCUCGAUGAGACGCUGUAUUUAUGAUGAAGAAUUUGAAAAAGGACUUCCACAGGGGAGUCAGUAUUUGGCUGAAAGUUUCCGAGCUGGUUUUUAUGCCUUUUACAUGGAAGAACUCCUGUCUGUAUUUAAGGAGGAUCAACUAUUUGUCAUUAAUAUGGAACAAUAUCUUACAAAAACGAGACAAACUUUAAAAGAAACGUUCAAGUUUCUUAAC